rnacentral:rRNA from 1 species
GAUGAACGCUGGCGGCGUGCCUAAUACAUGCAAGUCGAGCGAACAGACGAGGAGCUUUCUCCUCUUACGUUAGCGGCUGACGUGUGAGUAACACGUGUAUAACCUACCUAUAAGACUGGGAUAACUUCGUGAAUCCGGAUCUAAUACCGGAUAAUAUAUUGAACCGCAUGGUUCAAUAGUUAAUUACGGUUUUUCUUUCUCUUAUUGAUUUUUCCGCUCCGCAUUAGCUAGUUGGUAAGGUAACGGCUUACCAAGGCCACGAUGCGUAUCCGACCUGAGAGGGUGAGCGGCGACACUGGAACUGAGACACGGACCAGAAACCUACGGGAGGCAGCAGUAGGGAAUAUGACGCAAUGGGCGAAAGCCUGACGGAGCAAAGCCGCGUGAGUGAAGAAGGUCUUCGGAUCGUAAAACUCUGUAAGUAGGGAAGAAAAAAUGUGUAAGAAAAUAUGGAAGUAUUGACGGUACCUAAAAAGAAAGCAACGGCUAACUACGUG